CUUUCCGUAAUAUAUGAAAACCCUACACCUUUAUUAACUUCAUCUCCUCCCUCCCUCCAUCUCAUCUCAUCUCGUCUCAACUUUCUUUCAUCAGGAUUUCUGAAACUCAAAUCCGUGUGUUAUAACAAGUGGGUAUUGCAGGAAACUUACAAGGAAAGAAGCUAUGGAGUCUGUUUUGUUCGAGCAAGAAAGGGCUGAUUACCAUGAAGUUGAUGAUGCUGGUUCGGUGAUUUCCUCUUCUUCUGAAUCUUCUUCUUCUUCUGAAGCUUCAACCAUGGAGGAAGAUGAUUCCCCUCGUGAAGAAGUCACUUCUCAUUCUUCAACUAAGGAUCCUCUUCUUCAAAUGUCUUCUCUUCUUCGACAACUCCCCUUCAAGUAACUCCUACCUCUCUCUCUCUCUCUCUCUAAGUAUUAUAAUUUAUUUUAUUUGCCUAAAGAACUUCUGACAAUCUUAGUUUAGAAAAAUAUAUAAAGAAUGUUUUGAUGAUAAAUACAUAUUAAUAGGAAAUGCAUUAAUAAUUAGAUAUCUAUAUAAAGAUUAAAUAAAAUAUAUUAGAGAGAGAUGUUACAAUAAAAUAAAUUUAGUGUUUAUAAGAAAAAUGUUUAGAAUUAAUGUAAAAUUUAUAAUUUAUUUUUUAAUUAAAAUUUAAUCUCUAUUUAUAUUUUAAUUAUGGUAAUUUAAGUUUUAAUUAAAUUUAAUUCAUCUUUAAUUUUUUUUAAAGUUAAUGAUAGGUUAUCUUUAUCUUUAGCAGAUUAAUUAUAAUAUUUAUUUUUUAAAAUUUGAGUUAGUUUAUAUGUAAUUCUACUUAAAAGCAUGCUAAGAUAUCAAUUUGUGUAAGAUCGAAAAACCCCAACAUCUCUGUUUGGCAUUUUAUCAAACAGGUGAUGUGCAUGGUGUUUUGUUUUUUUGUUUUCUCUAGACUUUAAUGGUGGGUUUUGGUUCAGGAGGGGGUUAUCGAAGCAUUACCACGGAAAAUCACAGUCGUUN
rnacentral:lncRNA from 1 species